GUCGUGGGCAGGCAGCAACUACAGACCGGACCAGCAAUUCUCUGAAAUGAAAUUAUGGACUGUUAUAGAUGAAAAGGAUCUUAGCGGUCAUCCAUUUUAUCCAACCCUCUCACUCUAAGGAGGAAACUGAGGCACGGAGAUGUGAAGUGCUCUGCUCUUGGCCACCCAGGGAGCAGAGGAGCUAGAACCGGAACCCAGGCAUUUCCGGCCGGCCUCUCCUCUGAACUGACCUCUCCUCUGAUGGCUGGUGGCACUGACCACCUGUGCUGCUCAUUUGGCCUUUAGCAUCCACUGUCCAGGCUGCUCUUCUAUGUCCACUUGUUAUUUCUCCAACUAGAUUGCCAGCUACCUGGGUUUCACCUAUCCCCUACCGUCCCAGUAAGGCCAAGCCACAACCUCGUGAGUAUAGCC
rnacentral:lncRNA from 1 species